CCAGACUCCUACGGGAGRCAGCAGUGGGGAAUAUUGCACRAUGGGCGAAAGCCUGAUGCAGCCAUGCCGCGUGUGUGAAGAAGGCCUUCGGGUUGUAAAGCACUUUCAGUUGUGAGGAAAGGAGUGUAGUUAAUAGCUGCAUUCUGUGACGUUAACAACAGAAGAAGCACCGGCUAACUUCGUGCCAGCAGCCGCGGUAAUACGAGGGGUGCAAGCGUUAAUCGGAAUUACUGGGCGUAAAGCGUUCGUAGGCGGUCUAUUAAGCAAGAUGUGAAAGCCCAGGGCUCAACCUUGGAACUGCAUUUUGAACUGGUAGACUAGAGUACUGUAGAGGGUGGUGGAAUUUCCAGUGUAGCGGUGAAAUGCGUAGAGAUUGGAAGGAACAUCAGUGGCGAAGGCGGCCACCUGGACAGAUACUGACGCUGAGGAACGAAAGCGUGGGGAGCGAACAGGAUUAGAUACCCUGGUAGUCCACGCCGUAAACGAUGUCAACUAGCCGUUUGUGGACUUGAUCCGUGAGUGGCGCAGCUAACGCACUAAGUUGACCGCCUGGGGAGUACGGCCGCAAGGUUA
rnacentral:rRNA from 1 species